AUUGAACGCUGGCGGCAGGCCUAACACAUGCAAGUCGAGCGGGGUUUUCGGACCUAGCGGCGGACGGGUGAGUAAUGCGUAGGAAGCUGCCCGAUAGAGGGGGAUACCAGUUGGAAACGACUGUUAAUACCGCAUAAUGUCUACGGACCAAAGUGUGGGACCUUCGGGCCACAUGCUAUCGGAUGCGCCUACGUGGGAUUAGCUAGUUGGUGAGGUAAUGGCUCACCAAGGCGACGAUCUCUAGCUGGUUUGAGAGGAUGAUCAGCCACACUGGAACGGGGACACGGUCCAGACUCCUACGGGAGGCAGCAGUGGGGAAUAUUGGACAAUGGGCGCAAGCCUGAUCCAGCCAUGCCGCGUGUGUGAAGAAGGCCUUCGGGUUGUAAAGCACUUUCAGCGAGGAGGAAGGGGUGUGUGUUAAUAGUACACACCUUUGACGUUACUCGCAGAAGAAGCACCGGCUAACUCUGUGCCAGCCGCCGCCGUAACAC
rnacentral:rRNA from 1 species